UGUAAUUUGCCCUACAUUCAUUUAUUUAGACCAGCACUGCUUAUAUAAAGCAAACAUAGAUCUGAUUUAUUCAUUUUAGAUUUAUCAAAAUGGCUCAGAUUGAAGCAUCUUCUUGUGGCGGUGGAGGCAAGAGGAGGGGGGUGAAAUAUCUUGUAGAUGCAACCCCUAACAUGACGACGCUGCCACCGGAAUAUGUUUUGCCAGUACCUCCGCCGCCGGCUUCUGGCAGCGACGGUGAGAUUCCUGUGAUAGAUUUGAGUGGUCUUGAUGGACCCAUUGAGCGCCGGAGGUUGACGGUUGAGGCCAUCAGCUCUGCUUGUGCCGACUAGGGAUUCUUCAGGAUCAUAAAUCAUGGCAUCGAGAGAUCUUUAAUAGAGGAAGAGCUCAAGACUGUGGAAGGAUUUUUCAACCUUCAUUGGGAAGAGAAGAUGAAAUAUGCAUCAGAUGAUGUGAUGAAUCUGGUACGGUACGGAACGAGCUUGAAUACAUCAAAACAGCAUAAUCUCCAUUGGAGAGAUUUCUUGCGCUAUUUUGGCCAUCCUUUUCAAAACACUUUUCAUCUUUGGCCACACACUCCCCCUAACUACAGAGAAAUUCAGCCCCCUUCCUUUUGUCUACUCUCACUUGUCACCACGAUCAAACACGCACACAGAGAGAGAGAGCCAUGUCGCCGGAAGAUGGGUCGGUGGAAAGGUUUAGGGAGGUUCUCGUGGAGCUUGAUCGACGGAGAGAAGCUCCACGGCACAAUCACAGUCACCGACGGACAAAGUUCUCAAUCCAUCUACAACCGAGAUUGGGAAAAUUUGCAAGGAAUUGAAUGUUCAGCUACACACAGAUGCUACGCAGGCUUUGGGGAAGAUUGCAAUCUCUCUCUCUCUCUUUCUAUAUAUAUAUCUUCAUCCUCAAUCUCCAUCUUCCUCUAUUAACUGGUUUAUUCCAUAUCUUGUAUAGUUCUUCAUCAAGCUCAAUUACUAUAUUUCCCAUUUUGAAGAUUCUUCCCCGAAGAAGAACAAUAGGGCAAAUGUGUAUAAAAGUGCAGUGUAUUGAAUCAACUCCUACAUCUACUCAAUCUAUUACAUAGAACUUGGCCUGAACAAUCUCUCAUUAAAUCAUGAGAGAGAGAGAGAGAGAGAGCCAACCCAUUUUCUUUGUAGAGAAUUUUUGUCCAGAGAAAUUCUCUGAGAUUUUGGCCACUGUGUAAAUUUUCUCUGAGAAUCUCUUUGGGAGGUUCUAGAGAAAAUUUCUCUGGACAGAAAAUUCUCUGGUCAUAUUUGCCACUUACCAAAGUGCUCUGGUGUUAUGAAGCUUUUAAAAAAUUACAUAAUUUAAAACACUUUUUGUCUAUUGAAUUGGUGGCUUACUGUUGUUUUUUCUGGUUUUCUAUGUACUAAUGUCAUGUAUAUUUGCUAUAGGCAAGGGUGAGUCCUAGUGUUGUGGUCUAUGCUCAACUUUCAAAGCUUGAUGGGGUUCUGGGAAGGUUCCAUGCCUUACAUUGCUUGGAAAUGUUUAGGGUGGCAAAAUGGUUUUUCCAUUGGUGAUGUUGAAGCUUCUUUGAGUUGGUGUCCCAGUGUUUUUUGAAUUCAUUGAUCUUCUUUUCAAUUGUUUGGGCUUGAUUUUCUUGGCUGGUUUUGUUUUUUAAUUUCUUCUUCAUUCAUCCGUGAAUUAAUAGUUGUAAAUGCUACCGACACCGCCAAUCUAUAAAUAUAACUAUCCUUUCUUGUUGCAGUACACAAAACAUAAAGGUCAGAACGUUGAGUUCACAAGUUUCAUUGAGUUUUCACAGGUUUAAUCGUGUCUAAGAUGAAAAUAUUGCACUGAAGAGAGG